GAUGAACGCUGACAGAAUGCUUAACACAUGCAAGUCGAUUCAAGUUACCUUCGGGUAAUGAGGAUGGCGGACGGGUGAGUAACGCGUAAGGAACUUGCCUCUUGGUCUGGGACAACUGUUGGAAACGACAGCUAAUACCGGAUAUUAUGAGAUUCUCGCAUGGGAAACUUAUGAAAGCUAUAUGCGCCAAGAGAGAGCCUUGCGUUCCAUUAGCUAGUUGGUGGGGUAACGGCCCACCAAGGCGACGAUGGAUAGCCGGCCUGAGAGGGUGAACGGCCACAAGGGGACUGAGACACGGCCCUUACUCCUACGGGAGGCAGCAGUGGGGAAUAUUGGACAAUGGGCCACAAGCCUGACCCAGCAAUUCUGUGUGCACGAUGAAGGUCUUCGGAUUGUAAAGUGCUUUCAGUUGGGAAGAAGAAAGUGACGGUACCAACAGAAGAAGCGACGGCUAAAUACGUGCCAGCAGCCGCGGUAAUACGUAUGUCGCAAGCGUUAUCCGGAUUUAUUGGGCGUAAAGCGCGUCUAGGCGGAAAAAUAAGUCUGAUGUUAAAAUGCGGGGCUCAACUCCGUAUUGCGUUGGAAACUGUUUUUCUAGAGUACUGGAGAGGUGGGCGGAACUACAAGUGUAGAGGUGAAAUUCGUAGAUAUUUGUAGGAAUGCCGAUGGAGAAGUCAGCUCACUGGACAGAUACUGACGCUGAAGCGCGAAAGCGUGGGGAGCAAACAGGAUUAGAUACCCUGGNAGUCCACGCC
rnacentral:rRNA from 1 species